rnacentral:misc_RNA from 1 species
AUGGCAAACACCUCCGUCAUGCACGGCGGUCGAAGAAUUUUCCGGCGAACCGGCAGAAUUCGAGUUCGAAGCAGCGGAGGCAUUAGCUUGUUUGUCGCAUCCGGUGGAUGAAGACGGUGCAUCCGGUGAAACUGAACUCUGCGUAGACGCCGUCACCGAUCGGGUAUCCUAUUAAUUUUCUCACUGAUACUAACAGUAUAUAACUUUGCCUAUUAAUUUUGCUUCAACGUCCGUGCUCAGCAGUUGAGGUACGAGCUCUGGACAUCUGUAAUUAUGGCUGUUAUACAAUUUUAGGGUGUGUUGGGCACCAAGGAAAACAAUUUUUAAAAAUUAGUUGAGUUUCUUACUCAUCUCCUCUUUUAAUUAUUUGAUCUAAAAAUAUCUCAUUUCUUUUUCAAGAGAGAAGUAUUAAAUUCGGCGUGAUUCCUCA